UGGGGGAUAUUGCACAAUGGGCGAAAGCCUGAUGCAGCGACGCCGCGUGGGGGAUGAAGGCUUUCGGGUUGUAAACCUCUUUCGCUAUCGAACAAGGCCCGCUUAGGGUGGGUUGAGGGUAGGUGGAGAAGAAGCGCCGGCUAACUACGUCCCAGCAGCCGCGGUAAUACGUAGGGCGCGAGCGUUGUCCGGAAUUAUUUGGCGUAAAGGGCUUGUAGGCGGCUUGUUGCGCCUGCUGUGAAAACGCGGGGCUUAACUUCGCGCGUGCAGUGGGUACGGGCAGGCUUGAGUGUGGUAGGGGUGACUGGAAUUCCAGGUGUAGCGGUGGAAUGCGCAGAUAUCUGGAGGAACACCGAUGGCGAAGGCAGGUCACUGGGCCAUUACUGACGCUGAGGAGCGAAAGCAUGGGUAGCGAACAGG
rnacentral:rRNA from 1 species